rnacentral:misc_RNA from 1 species
AAAUCUCACAAACUAAUAAUUUGUGGAUUUGGAUUUGCGAUAAUGUAGUAAUUAUUGCUAAUCUGAAAUGAAUUUCAUGAAGCUUAACUUGCUUUGAAUCUUUUGCUUAAUAGUUUUGCUUUGUCAAAUCUUUUGCAAUUGAUUUCAAAAGCCCAAAAAGUGGAUUGAUUUUUACGAAAUCUAAAAUCUCAUU